UGAUUCCAUUCCGAACUCAGAAGUGAAACGAAAUAGCGCCGAUGGUAGUGUGGGGUUUCCCCAUGUGAGAGUAGGACAUCGCCAGGC
rnacentral:rRNA from 1 species